rnacentral:lncRNA from 1 species
CCCACAUACAACAGUACAUGCAUUGAAACUAGAGGUCACUUUGACAAGCAUAAGCAUGUCAGAUGCUCCAUGGCAAAGCGAUUGAAAUACCCAUAUUAAAAAGAGAUAUAUUUUAAGUAUCAAAUGGCUAACUCUCCUCCACCACAAAAUGCAAUCACACACACACACAGGAUAAAAACAAUAAUAUCACUCUGAUUGAAAGUUUGGUGGACCCAUAUGUCUACAAUCAUAAUUGUUUAAAAUACAACUUUUUACACAAAAAAAUGUAAUUAUAUGAAUUUUUUGUGGUUACACCUCUUAUACUUCAUUUUUUAUUUAUUUCUUUUAUUUAUUUUAAAAGUUGUGUUGAGCCGACUGUUCCCCAUGUUAAUCUCCUUCCUGACCACAGGACUCAGAUCACAUAUUUAUUAAAAAAAAAAAAAAAAAAAAAAUAUAUAUAUAUAUAUAUAUAUAUAUAUAUAUAUAUAUAUAUAUAUAUAUAUAUAUAUAUAUAUAUAUAUAUAUAUUUCAAAGUCUUUAAGACACAGUAUUAAAGCUGAAUGAAGUCUGGAGGGAAGGUGGAAACGUGGAGGAGAACAUGGACGUUCAAGAGGACUAAAAAUACACACAAAAAAAUUCUACAACAAUCACAAAGACUGAUCGCUCAAAAUCAAAGCUUAAAUAAAGAACUAGUCUUUAAAAAGUUUCUCCACUUUUUGAAGCAAACAGUUUGUUGGGAAUUGUUGUCCCAUCAAGGCAGGCGUCCCUCAUCGUCCUCAGUCACACGUCAAGCUGAAAGCUUCCUGUUGGAGAUGGAGAGCCGAUGGUGAUGAUGAUGAUGGAGGAAGAGGUUGUUCUCUCAGUCAGAACUCGGUUCUUCCUCGGUUCCUGCCGGGUCGUCUCCCAUCAGCCCACACGCUUGACGCUGCGUUUGCGCUUCAGACAGCUCGGGACGCACUUCUUCUCAGACCUGAGGGGCGGGGACGCCGGCGCCGGGGACGCAGGCACCUGCUUCCUGGGCGGGAGCAGCAGCAGCAGCAGCAGCGGCAGCAGCGGCAGCAGCGGCGGUGGCGGCGGCGGCCUCCCUGUGUCUGAUCUGCUUCAUCAGCUUCAGCAUGCGACAGAUCUGCCUCAGGGUCAUCUUGGGAGUGUGGCAGACCAGGCGGGGCCUCGGGGUGCAGCGGGGGCCCCGGUGUGAGAGAAGAGCCAGAUAGUUCCCCCCUCUGGCUCCCCUCCCAAACAGCUGCAGGGGCUCGGCGCUCGCAUAGCAGGAGGCAAACUGGGAGUCGAACACAUGACAGCGGUUUGUUAGAUCUGAAUUAUACACAUUGGUCUUAGUUUUUAUCUCAUAUUUCUACCCGGUCAC